rnacentral:rRNA from 1 species
AAUACGACUCUCGGCAACGGAUAUCUCGGCUCUCGCAUCGAUGAAGAACGUAGCAAAAUGCGAUACCUGGUGUGAAUUGCAGAAUCCCGCGAACCAUCGAGUUUUUGAACGCAAGUUGCGCCCGAGGCCUUCUGGUUGAGGGCACGCCUGCCUGGGCGUCACGCCAA